GGGCGUGUCGCCUAAUGGAAUAGGGCAUCGGUCUUCUAACCCGAUCUGUGUAGGUUCGAUCCCUACCACGCCUG
rnacentral:tRNA from 1 species